AACGAACGCUGGCGGCAUGCCUAACACAUGCAAGUCGAACGAGAUCUUCGGGUCUAGUGGCGCACGGGUGCGUAACGCGUGGGAAUCUGCCCUUUGGUUCGGAAUAACAGUUGGAAACGACUGCUAAUACCGGAUGAUGACGAAAGUCCAAAGAUUUAUCGCCAGAGGAUGAGCCCGCGUAGGAUUAGCUAGUUGGUGUGGUAAAGGCGCACCAAGGCGACGAUCCUUAGCUGGUCUGAGAGGAUGAUCAGCCACACUGGGACUGAGACACGGCCGAGACUCCUACGGGAGGCAGCAGUGGGGAAUAUUGGACAAUGGGCGAAGGCCUGGUCCAGCAAUGCCGCGUGAGUGAUGAAGGCCUUAGGGUUGUAAAGCUCUUUUACCCGGGAUGAUAAUGACAGUACCGGGAGAAUAAGCUCCGGCUAACUCCGUGCCAGCCGCCGCGGUAAGAC
rnacentral:rRNA from 1 species